UCAACAACGACGACUUGAUAUUCCAGAUGAUAUGGAUCCAGUCAUAGCGGAUGUUAUUAGGAAAUGCUGGCAAACGGAUCCAAAGUUGAGGCCAACAUUUGCAGAGAUCAUGGCGUUUUGAAGCCAUUACAGAAGCCGAUAACUGGUGCACAAGUGCCUAGACCAAGUUCAUCUAUGAGAGGUGGACAUGAGAAAGGUCAGCAACAGGCAGGCUAACAGAGCUAAUUAGUGAGUCAGAGUGGAACUUCAGCUCAAUGGAUUGCCAAAAAUAUCAAUAUGGAGGCAAAUUAUGAACUUUCUGGGACAAGAAUGCAC
rnacentral:misc_RNA from 1 species